rfam:Vibrio sp. JCM 19231 DNA, contig00065.
AAAGUGAAAUACCGAGCAACGCAAGAUUUAUAGUAUCCCUUCAUUGUUCGACGCUACUUGUUGUUUUUCAUUGGUUAUAAUUUUCUAUUCAACUAAUCAGCAUGUUUAUAUGUAACUGUUAAUUCUUUUGUAAGGGACACUAUCAUGUCUAAUAAAACAACUGGCGUUGUUAAAUGGUUCAACGAAACUAAAGGCUUUGGUUUUAUCGCUCAAGACGGCGGUCAAGAUGUAUUCGUACACUUCCGUGCUAUCACUGGCGACGGCUUCAAAACUCUAACUGAAGGCCAAAAGGUUGAGUUCGAAGUAGAGCAAGGUCAAAAAGGCCCUCAAGCAGCGAACGUUGUAGUACUUUAAUUUUAAGUACAGACAAGAUUUCAAAAUGCCACUCUCGAGUGGCAUUUUUUA